rnacentral:rRNA from 1 species
UACGUAGGGUGCAAGCGUUAAUCGGAAUUAUUGGGCGUAAAGAGCGUGUAGGCGGCCCGGUUAGUCCGCUGUGAAAGUCCAGGGCUCAACCCUGGAAUGCCGGUGGAUACUGUCGGGCUAGAGUCCGGAAGGGGCGAGUGGAAUUCCUGGUGUAGCGGUGAAAUGCGCAGAUAUCGGGAGGAACACCUGCGGUGUAGACGGCUUCUGGACCAUAACUGACGCUGAGGCACGAAAGCGUGGGUAGCAAACAGG